GUGUCUGUCUUGACCUGGAGCCACGAACUUCAACUAUGCAGUGGUGAGGGUGUCUCUCUGAGCUUGCAAGGGAAAGUGAAGGGUGUGGAGCUGAGAGGAGGCAGCCUGCAUGCCCCAGGCAGAGACAGGGAGAGGGACACCUGCCUCAAAGGAAAAGCAAGAGAGUUGUGGGGAUGGGCAUGAUGCCUAACCCAGCCUAGCCUAGACCAGCCCAGUCCAGCCCCACAUGUCAUGGAAGAGGCUUUGCAGGACAAAGCAGGUUUCCUGAAUCAGAUGAGUCAGGGAACUGGCAAAGGAGGCCUGGCUCAUGGGAACCAGCAGAGACAAUGACAUCAGAGCCAUGACAUCAGAGCCAUGACAUCAUCACCUAACCUCCAAAUCAGAGAAGGGAUACCCUGGACUUCAUCUCUUAGGAGACCAGAACUCUCAGCAGGGGGGAGACCUGCCCAGUUCUGCUCCACCCUGCCAUGGCCUCCAGGCUCCUGUGCUGUGUGGCCCUUUGUGUCCUGGGAACAGGCCCAGUGGAUUCUGGAGUCACCCAAACACCAAGACACCUGAUUAAAGCAAGAGGACAGCAAGUGACAAUGAGAUGUUCCCCUAUCUCUGGGCACAAAAGUGUAUUUUGGUACCAACAGCCACUGGGCCAGGGCCCCCAGUUCCUCGUUCAGUAUUACAAUGAGAAAGAGAAUGAGAAAGCAGACACCGCGAAUCGAUUCUUAGGGAAGCAGUUCAGUAACUAUAGCUCUGAGCUGAAUGUGAGCUUCCUGGAGCUGACGGACUCGGCCCUGUAUCUCUGUGCCAGCAGCGUAGCACAGCCCUGCAGAGUCACCAGCGUUCUGUGCACAAACCUCCUCGCCCCAGCGUGGAGCAACCUCAGAGCUGAUGGAUUUGUGAGGACUUCGGGGCUGCAGCGGGAGAGAAAAACGAGUUAGGGCCCUGGAAAGUAC